CCCUUAGAUGUUCUGGGCCGCACGCGUGCUACACUGAACGGUUCAAUGGGUAAGGUAGUGCGAAAGCAUGACCUAAUCUCGAAAUCCGUUCGUGCUGGGGAUAGAAGCUUGCAAUUAUCCUUCUUGAACGAGGAAUACCUUGUAAGCGUGAGUCAUCAUCUCACGCUGAAUACGUCCCUGCCCUUUGUACACACCGCCCGUCGCUCCUACCGAUUGAGUGUUCCGGUGAGGCUUUGGGAGAAUGGCCUCAACAUGAGUUUAUCGUGUUUUACCGUUUGAACUUAGUCAAACCUUAUCACUUAGAGGAAGGAGAAGUCGUAACA
rnacentral:rRNA from 1 species